rnacentral:rRNA from 1 species
GUGAGCGGAUGAGUUGAGGGUAGCGGAGAAAUUCCAAUCGAACCUGGAGAUAGCUGGUUCUCUCCGAAAUAGCUUUAGGGCUAGCCUCAAGUGAUGAUUAUUGGAGGUAGAGCACUGUUUGGACGAGGGGCCCUUCUCGGGUUACCGAAUUCAGACAAACUCCGAAUGCCAAUCAAUUUAACUUGGGAGUCAGAACGCGGGUGAUAAGGUCCGUGUUCGAAAGGGAAACAGCCCAGACCACCAGCUAAGGUCC